GGGUAACGCCGCGGACUGUCUCAACACAAUGGCCACGGAGCCGUCGACGUCCCCGAUCCAGCAGUCCUGGUCGGUGGGGACGAAGUACGGCUCCGCGGCGACAGCGACGUCGAUUGACCACUCCGCCAUGGUGUGGACG